rnacentral:lncRNA from 1 species
CUGGUCACGGCUCUGUCACGCCUGUGACAUGGUCCUGCCCUUGGUCACGGCUCUGUCAUGGCUCUGUCAUGCCUGUGUCAUGAUCCUGCCCCUGGUCAUGGCUCUGUCACGCCUGUGACAUGGUCCUGCCCCUGGUCAUGGCUCCAUCACGCCUGUGACAUGAUCCUGCCCCUGGUCAUGGCUCCAUCAUGCCUGUGACAUGAUCCUGGUCAUGGCUCCGUCACACCUGUGACAUGGUCCUGCCCCGGUCACGGCUCCGUCAUGCCUGUGACAUGGUCCUGCCCAUGUUCACAGCUCUGUCACGGCUUUGCCAUGCCUAUGUUGUGAUCCUGCCCCUGGUCACGGCUCUGUCAUGGCGGGGGGGGGGGUCGCGGUUCUGCCCUCUCCCCUCAGUGAAAAAUUACAGAUCGGUGGCAAAUUUUGCUGUUUUCACGCUACAGCGAGCUGCCGAGCGCCUUUUCCUCCCCAUUUUUGUGGUGGGGGAUGGUUGGGGGGGGGAACGAGUGGCAAGGCAUGAUUUUAAAUGAAUUUUUUCUUUUUUUGGUGGCAUUCCAGGGACUAUUUUGUUUUCCGGGCCGGCCUCGCCCCGCGCGGAAGCAGCCGGCGGCCGCAGCACCGCCGCAGUUAUAAGGCGCCGCAGGGCCGGAGCGGCCCAGAGCCGCAGGGAGCAGCCAGGGAGGCAGCGCAGGGGCUCGGCAGGGCCGGGGGCUGGCUAGCGUCUUCCGAGCAGAAACAGCCCCCCAAAAAAACAACUAAAAUACAAAUUAUAGCUUAAAAAAUCUUAAAAAAAGAAAUUAGACCUAACUAGGGUUCGCUCUUAAAAAAAAAAAAAAGGCGAUUAAAUGCCUUUAGCGGAGGAAAUGCGAAGAUUUUUAACGCGAAGAUUUAAAAAAAACAUGCGAGGCAAUUGGAAGAGAAGAGACGAAGGACGAAAGCGGGAGCCGCUAGGUUCGGGAGGGUGAGCAGAGGUUUGGGUAAAGGAUGGAAGGAAACGGGGCUUUUCACAAGCCUGCGCGAGGCAGAUUUUUUUAACCGUUGGAAGAGAGGAAGCCUCCCCAAAAAAAAAAAAAGCAGUUAAGAUAAAAUAUUAAAUUUUAUUUAA